AGUGCUGUCAAAACAUUAUAAAAUUAACGAAAGUUUUGGUUAUUCAAAUUGUAUUUUAAUUUUAAACGAUAGAAAUUAUGUUUUAAAGGAAAAUUAUGAUUAAAAUAAUAGAAAUAAUGUCUCAUAAGGUUCAUUAUCAAACGUGGCGAAUGUUUACUGGUGGGCUGUGCAUGUGUAUGUUGUUGUUCUCGUUUGUAUUUGGGCCUGUGCACACACUGUUUUCUUUCGAGCGUGGAGCAGACAACACGAACAUAUCAAAAAUAAUGAAAACCGAGCCGGGAUACGCAAAUCUUCUCAUCAUAAUAACAUCACAAAUGUGGCUUAUGUUUGUAUCAAAUCUAUGCCUGCUAGUAUCAGUAAUCAAUGAAAGGAAAUGUGGACUAGAUUGGUUUUUAAAUUUCACCCUUAUUAAUAUGGUCAUAGCGUUUAUGUCAACUAUUUAUUUUAUAAUACAUUGCAACUUUGUUGAUAUACAAUGUUUUGAUCACACGCCUGGCAGGGUGGGCAAUGAUCGUGCUUACAUCAUUACGCUGGGUGUAUUGUGCUUAAUGUAUUUGUUGCUUCUGUGCAUGUAUUCCUAUGUUGUUUAUAAAUACAGACAGCAUCUGAAAGUUAUGUA